rnacentral:rRNA from 1 species
GAUGAACGCUGGCGGCGUGCCUAAUACAUGCAAGUCGAACGCGAGAGGAGGGAGCUUGCUCCCUCUGAUCGAGUGGCGGACGGGUGAGUAACACGUAGGCAACCUGCCCAUCAGCCGGGGAUAACUGCGGGAAACCGUGGCUAAUACCGGAUAAUCCUCUCCACCGCGGGGUGGGGAGUUGAAAGACGGUUUCGGCUGUCGCUGAUGGAUGGGCCUGCGGCGCAUUAGCUGGUUGGCGGGGUAACGGCCCACCAAGGCAACGAUGCGUAGCCGACCUGGGAGGGUGCUCGGCCACCCUGCGACUGAGACACGGCCCAGACUCCUACGGGAGGCAGCAGUAGGGAAUCUUCCGCAAUGGACGAAAGUCUGACGGAGCAACGCCGCGUGAGUGAUGAAGGCUUUCGGGUCGUAAAACCCUGUUGUUAGGGAAGAACAAGUGCUAGUUGAAUAAGCUGGCACCUUGACGGUACCUAACCAGAAAGCCACGGCUAACUACGUGCCAGCCGCCGCAGUAA